CAUUGCCAGUUCCAAUAUCAACCGGCCGGUCUUCAGUGAAGCUACGUGGACUUCAACGUAAUCUAAAAACGUUGGUGGACGUGAAGAGGCAGCUUUUUCGCGCAGUAAUUUAAGAAUUACUGGAGAUCACGCUGUGUAAGAAAAGAAUUAUGACGUGUCUAGCUAGCUCAACUGUAAUGAAUUCAUUUCAAAUUAUAAAGGUGGCGCAGGCGUCGAACAAGGCGACGAAGCGUUGACGAAGUCAGGAAAACAACAUGAAAUGCUGUUUCUGUUACAUUUCAAUCGGCAACGAGUGCUACGACUCCUAGUUAAACUGUUGAACGUUCUUCGGUUCUGCAAUCCAGUACAGGAGAAGAUCAAACGCCGUUGGUGUGUUCGCAAUGUACGUGUGACGGAUCGUAUGUGACCAUACAAACCGCCUAGCCAAAGUCCGGAUCGCAGUGAAUGUAUACGCGCCCUGGAAUCAGGAGGCAGCAGGAAUGACCAAAUGUGAGCUAAUAUGCUGUCACCCUCCAUCAAAACAGUGGUAGAGUGGCUGACAACACUGCCGUUCAAGAAUCAUCUGUGCCUCAAAGGCGUGGUGCUCUAACAUUGAGAAUGGCUGAAGAAAAGGAGUGGACUACAAUGCAUUAUGUGCACUUCGGUGUAUGCAGAAGCUGAACUGCUACAUGUGUUCAAGCUGUAUCCUAAAUUCUUAAAAAUAAAGGGGCAUGAUGUAAAGUCGCUUGUUCUGCUGCACAUAGGCAUAGCGGCAGAUGUCAU